CCUACGGGAGGCAGCAGUGGGGAAUUUUGGACAAUGGGCGCAAGCCUGAUCCAGCAAUGCCGCGUGAGUGAAGAAGGCCUUCGGGUUGUAAAGCUCUUUUGUCAGGGAAGAAACGGUGGAGGUUAAUACCUUCUGCUAAUGACGGUACCUGAAGAAUAAGCACCGGCUAACUACGUGCCAGCAGCCGCGGUAAUACGUAGGGUGCAAGCGUUAAUCGGAAUUACUGGGCGUAAAGCGUGCGCAGGCGGUUGUGCAAGACAGAUGUGAAAUCCCCGGGCUCAACCUGGGAAUUGCAUUUGUGACUGCACGGCUAGAGUGUGUCAGAGGGGGGUAGAAUUCCACGUGUAGCAGUGAAAUGCGUAGAGAUGUGGAGGAAUACCGAUGGCGAAGGCAGCCCCCUGGGAUAACACUGACGCUCAUGCACGAAAGCGUGGGGAGCAAACAGGAUUAGAUACCCUGGUAGUCCACGCCCUAAACGAUGUCUACUAGUUGUCGGGUCUUAAUUGACUUGGUAACGCAGCUAACGCGUGAAGUAGACCGCCUGGGGAGUACGGUCGCAAGNUUAAAACGUCAAAUGAAUUGACGG
rnacentral:rRNA from 1 species